rnacentral:misc_RNA from 1 species
AAGGAGCAAUUCUUGACUUCCGGCCCUCGGGCUUGGUGGUCCAAAGGCCAGUUCUUCAGGGAAGUUUGGAUGCGGGUUGUUCAUGGGGGGAACGUUGCUUUUUCGCCCCCUUGGUUUGCUUUGGCUUUGAAUUAUUGUUUGGGGGGGGAAACCAUUUCAGGGGGUUGGGGUGUUCGGCCCCGUUGUGGGGUUUUGGGGGGGGCGGCCAGGUGGGGCUUUUUUUUUCGGUUCCGGCCCCCGGAUUAGUUCUCUUCGUCGGGUUGUGACGGGUGGUUGGUCGUUGUUUGAGAACUGCACAGUGGACGCGAGCAUCUGU